rnacentral:rRNA from 1 species
UACGUAGGGUGCGAGCGUUGUCCGGAAUUAUUGGGCGUAAAGAGCUCGUAGGCGGCUUGUCACGUCGGUUGUGAAAGCCCGGGGCUUAACCCCGGGUCUGCAGUCGAUACGGGCAGGCUAGAGUUCGGUAGGGGAGAUCGGAAUUCCUGGUGUAGCGGUGAAAUGCGCAGAUAUCAGGAGGAACACCGGUGGCGAAGGCGGAUCCCUGGGCCGAUACUGACGCUGAGGAGCGAAAGCGUGGGGAGCGAACAGG